CUGUAUUUCCUGUUUAUGAAGCUUCUACAAACACAUGAAGUUUCAAACCUGUUGCUUUCUGAACUGUAAUGAACUAACACUUUUCAUUUGCAGAUUAUCUCAGAAGGAAAUGGAGAGAGGGGAUGACCAGAUAGAUGAACAAAAAGGUCAAUUUUAACAGCUAAAGAGUGCAUCCUUACACUACACAGGUCCUCUGACAAUCCGCCCAUUAUCUGCAGAGUUAUGAGGAUCCCAAAUAAACGUGGCUUGCAUACACAUAGUUCAGAAACUUCAGGUUAUACUGGUACUUCAUGCACAAGAAAGAGUUCCCUGAAAACAUUAAACCUCAUCCAAGACUGAAUCCACCACCAAAAAGGAGUAAAGGAAUGGACACAGACAUCUUUGCAGGAGGCUGGAGGUUGAAGCUUCUCUACUCCAUGCCAGCGAUUCACCCAGCCUCCACUGCCUUCUUUCCUUCGCUGCCCUUUGAAUCACAGUGUGUGAAAGACAGAGCACUGAAAACAAAAAGGCAAGUGGGUAAGUGGCUGGGGAAACUGAAAAGGCUAAGGAUAUUGCAGAGAGCAGCUGACAACUGAACAAGUUCAGGAAAUACUGUGUCAGAGGGGAGAACAGUCCAAUGACCUGUGGAAACAGGUGAAAGUCUACACUAAAGCUGUGUGAUCAAGCAGGAGACCUACUAAAUGCCAUUUUACUUUUGCUUGUUUUACUGAUCUUAAUUUAAAAACCAUGACUAAAACAUAGGAAGGCAGAACCAAGACCAUUAAAUGAGCAGAACAUCAAUUCCCACAAACUUUGAGCUAUACUGUGUGCUCUGUAUAAGCAUAAGGAGAUUCUUAAAAAGCUCUGCAAAUGAUAAACCUCCUUUUCUCAAGAUAAUUGGCAUGGACAAUGCAUCUGUAUUUUAGACUUUACUGUUCAGGAGGUUAAUGAACUUAAUGUUCAGAAUUCUUGGAGGUGAAAAUAAAAUAAAAUAAACAAGCCA
rnacentral:lncRNA from 1 species